rnacentral:rRNA from 1 species
CCUACGGGUGGCUGCAGUGAGGAAUAUUGGUCAAUGGCCGGAAGGCUGAACCAGCCAUGCCGCGUGAAGGUCAGUGCCCUAUUGGCGUUAAACUUCUUUUGUUCGGGAGCAAUAAUGGUCACGGUUGGCCCGACGAGAGUACCGUACGAAUAAGCAUCGGCUCACUCCGUGCCAGCAGCCGCGGUAAUACGGGGGGGGCAAGCGUUAUCCGGAUUUACUGGGUGUAAAGGGGGCGCAGACGGCAGUGCACGUCUGGAGGGAAAGCCCGGGGCCCAACCCCGGAACUGCUCUGGAAACUGUGGGGCUAGAGUGCGGGAGGGGCAGGCGGAAUGCCUAGUGUAGCGGUGAAAUGCAUAGAUAUUAGGAAGAACACCGAUGGCGAAGGCGGCCUGCUGGACAGUAACUGACGUUGAGGCUCGAAAGCGUGGGGAGCAAACAGGAUUAGAUACCCCGGUAGUC